rnacentral:ncRNA from 1 species
GUCUAGAUUUUGGUUCCUUCAACAAGGAUUAAAAGGGAAUCAGGUGAAAAUCCUGAACAGUCCCGCUGCUGUAAGUUGUCUUUUACACGGACGGACACAAAGCCACUGACAUUUUUCGGGAAGGCGUCCGCCACGGGCAACAAAGCCAGAAGACCUGCCGGUUGACAUA